rnacentral:rRNA from 1 species
UACAGAGGGUGCAAGCGUUAAUCGGAGUUACUGGGCGUAAAGGGCACGUAGGCGGUUAUUUAAGUCAGUUGUGAAAUCCCCGGGCUUAACCUGGGAACUGCAAUUGAUACUGGGUAACUAGAGUCGAAGAGAGGGAAGCGGAAUUUCCGGUGUAGCGGUGAAAUGCGUAGAUAUCGGAAGGAACACCCGUGGCGAAGGCGGCUUCCUGGAUUCAGACUGACGCUGAGGUGCGAAAGCGUGGGUAGCGAACAGG